UACGAAGGGGGCGAGCGUUGUUCGGAUUUACUGGGCGUAAAGGGCGCGUAGGCGGCCACUGCAAGUCAGUUGUGAAAUCUCCGGGCUUAACCCGGAAAGGUCAACUGAUACUGCAGGGCUAGAGUGCAGAAGGGGCAACUGGAAUUCUCGGUGUAGCGGUGAAAUGCGUAGAUAUCGAGAGGAACACCUGCGGCGAAGGCGGGUUGCUGGGCUGACACUGACGCUGAGGCGCGAAAGCCAGGGGAGCGAACGGG
rnacentral:rRNA from 1 species